UACGUAGGGGGCAAGCGUUGUCCGGAUUUAUUGGGCGUAAAGAGCGUGUAGGCGGCCAUACAGGUCCGUUGUGAAAACUGGAGGCUUAACCUCCAGACGUCGAUGGAAACCGUAUGGCUAGAGUCCGGAAGAGGAGAGUGGAAUUCCUGGUGUAGCGGUGAAAUGCGCAGAUAUCAGGAAGAACACCCGUGGCGAAGGCGGCUCACUGGAUCUCUUCUGACGCUGAGGCACGAAAGCUAGGGUAGCGAACGGG
rnacentral:rRNA from 1 species